rnacentral:lncRNA from 1 species
AGCCGGCUGCUGGUGCAGGAAAAGUGCCCACUGCCUUUCUCGAGGUCCCUUGUCUUCUGGGACGCCUCGAACUGAGGAAGCCAAAAAGCCAUGGCUGCACCGUCUUACUUGCGACCUGCUGGAGGUGACUUCGGGUGCUGAACCCAAAGCUCCCUCAGCUAAGGAAAGGAGAUGGCACCUCGUCCCCAUCUGCAUGGGGCUCACCCAAGGCAUCUGCAGUGACCCACGGCCUACCCUGAGCUGCUGAGGAGAACAGGACAUGGCUACCUGAGAUUGAACCAUGGAUAUCACCCUUUCCGUGCUGCUGGGGACAAGGAUGGAGAGGGAUGUAUAUGACAGUGACACCUGCAUCCCCAGGAGAGCCUGGAGGCCCACAGAGGGCAGGAUUACAUCAGGGCUGGCAUCUCUGGGAUGCUUCCUGGAAGCAUGCCAGCCAAGCGGAGCGACCUGUCCUGUGGAGGGAGAUCGCAGUCCCUCCGCCCCCAGCCUCCCCCCGGCCCUCUGUUUACACAACUGGGACAAAUUUCACACCGCUGUCCCCACAGCCCCAGCCCCUCGCUCCCCUGCCCCGAGGAAUUUGUGAGUCACGGCCGAGGCAGAGCUAUAAAUGUGUCCCCACCAAGGGUCUGCAGUGUCAGAAGGGACGGUGUCUUGUGCCACCAUGCAAGCUGCUGCCUGUUGCCCGAGUGCCCACGGGCUCCGUGUGCCUGUGGCCAGCGCCUGCCCACCGCUGGGGCCGGAGCAAGGGGCAAGAGCCCUUCCUCUCUGGAGACCGUGGCUGCCCCGAGCUCAGGAGGGACCCGCAGCGCGGCGAGGGGAGAUGGACCCUGCUCGGGCUCGGGCAGCGGAGGGGGACGGCGGUCCCAAAGCGCUGGCGUUCUUCCAGCACCCGGUCAGGUACGUGCCCGGGCACCAGGGCUCCGGGAGGGCGCGGA